AACCUGGUUGAUCCUGCCAGUAGUCAUAUGCUUGUCUCAAAGAUUAAGCCAUGCAUGUCUAAGUAUAAAUGGUAUACAAUGAAACUGCGAAUGGCUCAUUAAAACAGUUAUAGUUUAUUUGGUAAUCAAACUUACAUGGAUAACCGUGGUAAUUCUAGAGCUAAUACAUGCUGUUGCGCCCGACUCACGAAGGGCCGUAUUUAUUAGAUAUCAGCCAAUAAGCUUCUGCUAUUGUGGUGACUCAUAGUAACUUAAUCGGAUCGCAUGGGCUUGCCCCGCGACAAACCAUUCAAGUUUCUGCCCCAUCAUGCUUUCGAUGGUAGUGUAUUGGACUACCA
rnacentral:rRNA from 1 species